UACGGAGGGUCCAAGCGUUAUCCGGAUUUAUUGGGUUUAAAGGGUCCGCAGGCGGAUUUGUAAGUCAGUGGUGAAAGCCUUCAGCUUAACUGGAGAAUUGCCAUUGAUACUGCUAAUCUUGAGUUCGGUUGAAGUGGGCGGAAUGUGGCAUGUAGCGGUGAAAUGCAUAGAUAUGCCAUAGAACACCAAUUGCGAAGGCA
rnacentral:rRNA from 1 species